AUUGAAACAUCGGUCACUGCGUCUCCCGAUAAAUACACCCUGAACUGGCCCGAUAAUCUCAAAGGUGUCAAGUUUGUCAGUGCUCACAGUGAUGAAUGUUAUUUUCUACCUCUGUCUAAUCCUGUCUUACAUGGCAGGCGUGAGAUCCGACAUUGUGUUGACACAGCCCGAGUCAGCGGUGGUAAAUCCCGCACAGUCUCACAGACUUACGUGUGCAUUCAGUGGGUUCAGCCUCGGCAGCUAUGACAUGCAUUGGAUGAAACAGGUCUCCGGGAACGGGCUCGUAUGGUUGGCGGUUUUACGGGCUACUGGUAGCAAAACAUACGCGCCCGGAGUCCAAGGCCGAUUUAAGGUUUUCAAGGACAUCAGCUCCGUUUAUCUGCAAAUGAACAACCUGCGGCUGGAUGACACUGCCACCUAUUACUGUGCAAGUGACACAGUGAGAGAAAUCGCGACUGGACCGGAACAAUAA